rnacentral:rRNA from 1 species
UCGAUUCCCUUAGUAGCGGCGAGCGAAACGGGAAGAGCCCAAACCAACAAGCUUGCUUGUUGGGGUUGUAGGACACUCUAUACGGAGUUACAAAGGACGACAUUAGACGAAUCAUCUGGAAAGAUGAAUCAAAGAAGGUAAUAAUCCUGUAGUCGAAAAUGUUGUCUCUCUUGAGUGGAUCCUGAGUACGACGGAGCACGUGAAAUUCCGUCGGAAUCUGGGAGGACCAUCUCCUAAGGCUAAAUACUCUCUAGUGACCGAUAGUGAACCAGUACCGUGAGGGAAAGGUGAAAAGCACCCCGGAAGGGGAGUGAAAUAGAACCUGAAACCGUGUGCUUACAAGUAGUCAGAGCCCGUUAAUGGGUGAUGGCGUGCCUUUUGUAGAAUGAACCGGCGAGUUACGAUUUGAUGCAAGGUUAAGCAGU